UUUAUAGCUUUUAAUAACUAGUAAACCAAUCGGCGUGUACGCACUUAUCGGAGAUCCACAAGUUCUUGACACAUACGAUCAUCAUGGAAGCAACAAUGAAAUAUUUGUUUGAACCGACAAACAGUGAUGAAUUAAGCUGUAAAAAGGGCGAUCUAGUAAAGAUAUUAGAUACCGAUGAUCCUGACUGGUAUAAAGCAGAAAAGGGCGGACAUGAAGGCUUAGUUCCGGCAUCAUAUUUAACUAUGGCCCCACAUCCGUGGUUCGUGGGGAAGAAAGGCCGAGGUGAUGCCGAAAAAAUAUUAAAUGAAAAAGAUAGUUCUGGAAGAUUGAAACAUACUGAUGGUACUUUCUUGGUGAGAAAAAGUGAAAAUGAUCCAACAAGCUUCUCUCUGUCAGUCAAAAAUGGAAGCUGUGUACAGCAUUUUAGAAUAUUAAACGAUUCUUCGGGGUCAUAUUAUCUGUGGUCAAAACAUUUUCGUUCCAUAAACCAACUAAUUGAAAAUCACAAGCACGAAACAAUAACCAGAUCACCCAGCACUGAGUUGUUUCUAAGAGAAAUGGGAUCCAAAAGCUCUCAAGUUAUGGCAAAAGCACUGUAUAAUUUUCAGUCAACUCAGCCCGAAGAACUGUCAUUUAAAGCGCAUGACAUGUUGGUUAUAACAGACCAGUCUGAUCCUGAUUGGCUUGGAGCAGAAGAUUCCAAAGGCAGAACUGGAGUAGUG